GACGAACGCUGGCGGCGUGCUUAACACAUGCAAGUCGAACGGAAAGGCCCUGCUUUUGUGGGGUGCUCGAGUGGCGAACGGGUGAGUAACACGUGAGUAACCUGCCCUUGACUUUGGGAUAACUUCAGGAAACUGGGGCUAAUACCGGAUAGGAGCUCCUGCUGCAUGGUGGGGGUUGGAAAGUUUCGGCGGUUGGGGAUGGACUCGCGGCUUAUCAGCUUGUUGGUGGGGUAGUGGCUUACCAAGGCUUUGACGGGUAGCCGGCCUGAGAGGGUGACCGGCCACAUCGGGACUGAGAUACGGCCCAGACUCCUACGGGAGGCAGCAGUGGGGAAUAUUGCACAAUGGGCGGAAGCCUGAUGCAGCAACGCCGCGUGCGGGAUGACGGCCUUCGGGUUGUAAACCGCUUUCACCUGUGACGAAGCGUGAGUGACGGUAAUGGGUAAAGAAGCACCGGCUAACUACGUG
rnacentral:rRNA from 1 species